ACAGUAUUUCAUAGUAUUAAGCGUACAAAAUGGCGUACCCGGCCGGAGGAACAGACAACAUUCUGCUUAUCACCGACUCAUACAAGGUGACACAUCAUUACCAGUACCCUCCCAACACAACAGUCGUCUGCUCCUACUUCGAGAGUCGUGGGGGUAAAUUUCCAAGCACAGUUUUCUUCGGUCUGCAGUACAUCAUAAAGCGCUUCCUAGAAGGUCCAGUGGUCACAAAAGAGAAGAUAGAGGAGGCCCGUGAUCUGUACAACGCUCAUUUUGGUCAUGAAUACUUCAAUGAGGAAGGAUGGAAUUAUAUCUUGGAGAACCACGAUGGCAAAUUACCCAUGAGGAUAAAAGCUGUCCCUGAGGGAUCAGUGGUCCCAUACAAAAAUGUUCUCUUCACGGUGGAAAACACAGACCCAAAGUGUUUCUGGCUCACUAACUACUUUGAGACCCUGCUAGUUCAGACCUGGUACCCCAUGACAGUGGCCACAAACUCCCGCUCCCAGAAGGAAGUUAUUGCCAAGUACCUGGAUGAGACUGCCGAUAGUAUGGAUGGUCUGGGUUUCAAACUCCAUGAUUUUGGUUUUCGUGGAUCUACAUCUGUUGAGUCUGCUGGGAUAGGUGGAACUGCACACUUGGUGAACUUCUGUGGUUCAGAUACAAUUACUGCGAUCACCACAGCCAAAAGGUUUUACGGCUGUGAUAUGGCAGGCUUCUCCAUACCUGCAGCAGAGCACAGUACAAUAACAACAUGGGGACGGGAUGGCGAGAAGGAGGCAUUCAUUAACAUGCUCACUCAGUUCCCAAAUGGGCCAAUGGCCUGUGUCAGCGACAGCUAUGAUAUUUGGAAUGCAUGUGAAAAUGUGUGGGGAAAGGAGCUCAAAGACAUGAUAAUUACAAGAGGACAGAAUGGUGGGGUACUUGUGGUGCGACCAGACUCGGGGGAUCCAGCAGAGGUUGUCAUUAAGGUGCUGAACAUCCUUGGAAAUGCAUUUAAGACGACAGAGAACAGCAAGGGUUAUAAAAUGUUACCACCUUACCUGAGAGUUAUACAAGGGGAUGGCAUCAGCUAUGAAAGUCUGGGUGAAAUCCUGGAAGCCAUGAAGUCUAAUGGAUGGAGUGCAGACAACAUUGUAUUUGGGAGUGGAGGAGCUCUGUUACAAAGAAUGGACCGAGAUACACAGAAAUGUGCCUACAAAUGUAGCUACGCUGUUAUAGGCGGCAAGGAGGUUAAUGUGUAUAAGAACCCUAUCACAGACGUGGGAAAGAAGAGUAAGAAGGGACGAUUGACAUUAGAGUACGAAAAUGGAAAAUAUACGACUGUGGAGGAAGGAAAAGGCAACCCAACUCUGGAUGCAUUGGUUACUGUGUUUGAAAAUGGCAAGUUACUAAAAGAUUAUACGUUUGCUGAGGUGAGAGAAAAUGCAGAGCUGGAACUUGUAAGACAAAGGAGGGGCCAGAGCAGCUGUAAGGUUUAGGCCCUGUCCAGGUUUAAAACUCGCCGAACGGGGACCAUAGUGCGGUGUUUAAAGUCAGAAGCAUUGUAGCAGAGAUUUCCAUCGCCUAUAACAUCACAAAUAACAUAUACAAAUAUGAUAUCAUUUUAAAGUUCUCACUGGCUGUAGAAUCUACUAGAUGGAUGUUGAAAUAGAAUUCUGAUACACAAUCUUAAACAGACUGCUGUGUAGAAAAGACAGAAAGGUGUUCUUUGUAUUAUUUCAAUUUUUAGAAACAAUAAGGUUGUUGGUACAGGAACAAUAUAGAUCAUGACUAGUAUAUUAUGAUGAUAUUUUCCAGAGUUACACUUUACACUUUCGCGGUGUGAUUGUUAAGAAUCAUUAUACGUUAGAGUCCACUGUUAUGGUUCAGUUCAUGUCAUCCUUUCCGAAGUCUUGGUUUUCCUCUUUUUAAAUAUAUAAUCACGCUUUAUUGUCAGUAUCUCAACCUUUAAAGUUAGAACUUAUAUGUGCUGGCAUAUAACAGAGCAAAAGAGUGAACAGGUUUUCCCUAAAAUGACCCGAAGGUUAGUUUUUACACCUGUGUUUGGUAUCAAACAUGACACCAAAUCAUGAAAUGGCUUAAUUAUGAGAAUGUUUACCCUGAUGAUCUUUUCUGUGUUAUGACAGUGAAUAUUUAUAGGUAAUACAGUAUAUAAAAUCUGAUUCCAUUUUUAUUUUUUUAUGUACUUGUGAUGUUGGUUCAAUUUCACAGGAAUUAUUGUUCUGUUGAUAUCACAUUUUACUUAUCUACUCAUUCACCCCUGACAUUUCAUAAUGAACUAUUCCU
rnacentral:misc_RNA from 1 species